ACGGGAGGCAGCAGUGGGGGAUAUUGCACAAUGGGGGAAACCCUGAUGCAGCGACGCCGCGUGAGUGAUGAAGUAUUUCGGUAUGUAAAGCUCUAUCAGCAGGGAAGAAAAUGACGGUACCUGACUAAGAAGCUCCGGCUAAAUACGUGCCAGCAGCCGCGGUAAUACGUAUGGAGCAAGCGUUAUCCGGAUUUACUGGGUGUAAAGGGAGCGUAGACGGCGUGGCAAGUCUGAUGUGAAAGCUAUGGGCUCCACCCAUAAACUGCAUUGGAAACUGUCAUGCUAGAGUGUCGGAGAGGUAAGCGGAAUUCCUAGUGUAGCGGUGAAAUGCGUAGAUAUUAGGAGGAACACCAGUGGCGAAGGCGGCUUACUGGACGAUAACUGACGUUGAGGCUCGCAAGCGUGGGGAGCAAACAGGAUUAGAUACCCUGGUA
rnacentral:rRNA from 1 species